AUCUAAGUACCCCGAGGAAAAGAAAUCAACCGAGAUUCCCCCAGUAGCGGCGAGCGAACGGGGAGGAGCCCAGAGCCUGAAUCAGCAUGUGUGUUAGUGGAAGCGUCUGGAAAGGCGCGCGAUACAGGGUGACAGCCCCGUACACAAAAGCGCAUGUGCUGUGAGCUCGAUGAGUAGGGCGGGACACGUGGUAUCCUGUCUGAAUAUGGGGGGACCAUCCUCCAAGGCUAAAUACUCCUGACUGACCGAUAGUGAACCAGUACCGUGAGGGAAAGGCGAAAAGAACCCCGGCGAGGGGAGUGAAAAAGAACCUGAAACCGUGUACGUACAAGCAGUGGGAGCACAGGUUUACCUGUGUGACUGCGUACCUUUUGUAUAAUGGGUCAGCGACUUAUAUUCUGUAGCAAGGUUAACCGAAUAGGGGAGCCGCAGGGAAACCGAGUCUUAAUUGGGCGUUAAGUUGCAGGGUAUAGACCCGAAACCCGGUGAUCUAGCCAUGGGCAGGUUGAAGGUUGGGUAACACUAACUGGAGGACCGAACCGACUAAUGUUGAAAAAUUAGCGGAUGACCUGUGGCUGGGGGUGAAAGGCCAAUCAAACCGGGAGAUAGCUGGUUCUCCCCGAAAGCUAUUUAGGUAGCGCCUCGUGAAUUCAUCUCCGGGGGUAGAGCACUGUUUCGGCUAGGGGGCCAUCCCGGCUUACCAACCCGAUGCAAACUGCGAAUACCGGAGAAUGUUAUCACGGGAGACACACGGCGGGUGCUAACGUCCGUCGUGAAGAGGGAAACAACCCAGACCGCCAGCUAAGGUCCCAAAGUCAUGGUUAAGUGGGAAACGAUGUGGGAAGGCCCAGACAGCCAGGAUGUUGGCUUAGAAGCAGCCAUCAUUUAAAGAAAGCGUAAUAGCUCACUGGUCGAGUCGGCCUGCGCGGAAGAUGUAACGGGGCUAAACCAUGCACCGAAGCUGCGGCAGCGACGCUGAUGCGUUGUUGGGUAGGGGAGCGUUCUGUAAGCCUGUGAAGGUGUGUCGUGAGGC
rnacentral:rRNA from 1 species